GUGAAGCUUACCUGACUUAUCAUCUCUCUUAUGGGGGCUCAGCAUUCAAUGACUGCAAAAAGCAGAUUCCCUAGUAGUGUAUAGAGCUCAUUGUUUGUGUUGUUCUAAUGGACUUUGAACACAUCA
ensembl:snoRNA SNORA70 Small nucleolar RNA SNORA70